rnacentral:rRNA from 2 species
GGAACGAGUGGCGGACGGGUGAGUAACACGUGGGUAACCUGCCCUUAAGUGGGGGAUAACAUUUGGAAACAGAUGCUAAUACCGCAUAGAUCCAAGAACCGCAUGGUUCUUGGCUGAAAGAUGGCGUAAGCUAUCGCUUUUGGAUGGACCCGCGGCGUAUUAGCUAGUUGGUGAGGUAAUGGCUCACCAAGGCGAUGAUACGUAGCCGAACUGAGAGGUUGAUCGGCCACAUUGGGACUGAGACACGGCCCAAACUCCUACGGGAGGCAGCAGUAGGGAAUCUUCCACAAUGGACGCAAGUCUGAUGGAGCAACGCCGCGUGAGUGAAGAAGGCUUUCGGGUCGUAAAACUCUGUUGUUGGAGAAGAAUGGUCGGCAGAGUAACUGUUGUCGGCGUGAC